rnacentral:rRNA from 1 species
AUACGUAGGUGACAAGCGUUAUCCGGAUUUACUGGGCGUAAAGGGCGUGUAGGCGGUCUUGCAAGUCAGAAGUGAAAUUCCUGAGCUCAACUCGGGCGCUGCUUCUGAAACUGCAGGACUUGAGUGCUGGAGGGGAUAGCGGAAUUCCUAGUGGAGCGGUAAAAUGCGCAGAUAUUAGGAAGAACACCGGUGGCGAAGGCGGCUAUCUGGGCAGUAACUGGCGCUGGGGCGCGAAAGCGUGGGGAGCAAACAGGAUUAGAUUCCCGGAUAGUCCACGCUGUAAACAAUGAAUACUAGGUGUAGGGGGUAUCGACUCCCUCGGUGCCGCAGUUAACACAAUAAGUAUUCCGCCUGGGGAGUACGGCCGCAAGGUUGAAACUCAAAUGAAUUGGCGGGG